rnacentral:rRNA from 1 species
CCUACGGGGGGCAGCAGUGGGGAAUAUUGGGCAAUGGGCGCAAGCCUGACCCAGCAACGCCGCGUGAAGGAAGAAGGCUUUCGGGUUGGAAACUUCUUUUAAGAGGGAAGAGCAGAAGACGGUACCUCUUGAAUAAGCCACGGCUAACUACGUGCCAGCAGCCGCGGUAAUACGUAGGUGGCAAGCGUUGUCCGGAUUUACUGGGUGUAAAGGGCGUGUAGCCGGGCUGAUAAGUCAGAUGUGAAAUCCCGGGGCUCAACCACGGAACUGCAUUUGAAACUGUCGGUCUUGAGUAUCGGUGAGGCAGGCGGAAUUCCUAGUGUAGCGGUGAAAUGCUUAGAUAUUAGGAGGAACACCAGUGGCGAAGGCGGCCUGCUGGACGACAACUGACGGUGAGGCGCGAAAGCGUGGGGAGCAAACAGGAUUAGAUACCCCAGUAGUC